CAAGCAGCUGCGACAAGGAUAUCCACUGUGGGCAAAUCGACUGAGUCUAAUAAUUUUGUUGUAGCAAAAAAAGAUCGAGCGGCGUUCACCAAGAAAUUUAAAGAGAAAUAUCAGAAGAAUCCAAUUGAAUGUCUCUGUAAUCGAAAAGCUACUCUUCGAUUUGUAAGAGGUGGGCUCAAUAAAGAUCGGCCGUUCGUGAAAUGCCCAGAGAGCCCCAUAAGCCGCCAGUGUGGCUUUUACUGUUGGAUUAGCAAAAAUAUGUCAAUGUUUUCGUUUUGAAAAUACAAUUGCCUAUUUACUGAUGCUAUUCCACAUAAAUAACUGUGAUGAUGAAACAGUAACAAGAAUAUGUGAAAAUAAAAUUCCGCUGUAUCUUUUAAGUCAUCUGUUUAGAACUGAUUAAUUUUAACUAUAAAUUUCUGGUUUUUUGCCUGGUAAAUUAUG